rnacentral:rRNA from 1 species
GACGAACGCUGGCGGCGUGCUUAACACAUGCAAGUCGAACGGUAAGGCCCUUCGGGGUACACGAGUGGCGAACGGGUGAGUAACACGUGGGUGAUCUGCCCUGCACUUCGGGAUAAGCCUGGGAAACUGGGUCUAAUACCGGAUAGGACCACUGCCUGCAUGGGUGGUGGUGGAAAGCUUUUGCGGUGUGGGAUGGGCCCGCGGCCUAUCAGCUUGUUGGUGGGGUGAUGGCCUACCAAGGCGACGACGGGUAGCCGGCCUGGGAGGGUGACCGGCCACACUGGGAAGGAGAUACGGCCCAGACUCCUACGGGAGGCAGCAGUGGGGAAUAUUGCACAAUGGGCGCAAGCCUGAUGCAGCGACGCCGCGUGAGGGAUGACGGCCUUCGGGUUGUAAACCUCUUUCAGCACCGACGAAGCGCAAGUGACGGUAGGUGCAGAAGAAGGACCGGCCAACUACGUGCCAGCCGCCGCCGUAACAC